GGCGUGGCUUCCGGAGCUAACGCGUUAAGUCGACCGCCUGGGGAGUACGGCCGCAAGGUUAAAACUCAAAUGAAUUGACGGGGGCCCGCACAAGCGGUGGAGCAUGUGGUUUAAUUCGAUGCAACGCGAAGAACCUUACCUGGUCUUGACAUCCACAGAACUUUCCAGAGAUGGAUUGGUGCCUUCGGGAACUGUGAGACAGGUGCUGCAUGGCUGUCGUCAGCUCGUGUUGUGAAAUGUUGGGUUAAGUCCCGCAACGAGCGCAACCCUUAUCCUUUGUUGCCAGCGGUCCGGCCGGGAACUCAAAGGAGACUGCCAGUGAUAAACUGGAGGAAGGUGGGGAUGACGUCAAGUCAUCAUGGCCCUUACGACCAGGGCUACACACGUGCAGAAUGCCACGGUGAAUACGUUCCCGGGCCUUGUACACACCGCCCGUCACACCAUGGGAGUGGGUUGCAAAAGAAGUAGGUAGCUUAACCUUCGGGAGGGCGCUUACCACUUUGUGAUUCAUGACUGGGGUGAAGUCGUAACAAGGUAACCGUAGGGGAACCUGCGGUUGGAUCACCUCCUUACCUUAAAGAAGC
rnacentral:rRNA from 1 species